AUGGUUCACUUCUUGUUAGCACCCAGUUCAACAUGGAAUGACGGAAGCUGGUUGGGGCCGGAAUGCCAUUUGGGGGUGGGCAUUGUAAAUGCAGAAGGAGGGAACAAGCUAUACAGAAGGUCUAUGCAUCGGGGAAGCGCCUGCUGUGCAUCAGGCCUGUGCAAUGCUCCUUUCUCACCGUUACCUCAUCGAAUCCUCAGACAGCACUGCAGGGGGCUAUGGUCACCUUCUUUCAGCAGAUGAAGAAAUGGACGCUAAGAAGGUGCCAAUGAGAAGCUGAACCAAGGGUCAAAUGCCAAGUCUUUCAGGCCCCAACGCCUGCCCUGUUUCCAUGGCACCAUGUCGUCUGAGCACGUGAGCCCCGAGACUGACAUGGUGCACAGUGUCCUCCCCGUGGAGACACAGAAGGCCCAGCAGGCAGUGGGGGCCCCUCAGUCUGGACCAGCUUGGCUGCGUUUCUGAUGGAUUUUGACAUCAAAGGGCUUUGCCGGGUCCUGGUUCUGCCAGGUACCACUGCUGUACAUAGGGCAAAUCAUUCAAAUGCCUUCUGCAUCAGUUCCUCAUCUUUUCAAAUACAAUAUACCAUGUUUGAAAGACAAAGUGAGAGAAUCUUUGAUAGCACUGGGUAGAUGCUGUAGCACUUCACUCUCCUCAUAUAAACACAUACUCAAAGUGUGGAUGAAGAGAGUAUGAGAGAGAGAUUACGAAGGAGAUGAGCUGGGGGCGGAGAGGGAGAGACAGCUUUAGGGAGGAGCAGCACCACUGUGAGAUGGUAGUAAGACCCUUUGGAUCAGGAAAUGGUUCAACCCCAGAGGUCAGACAUCACUCCAGAAUGCUAUUUCAACUUUUUCCUCGUUUGAUUCUAGAAACUGGAUAAUAAGUAAGUAAAUAGAAAACUUCUGGAUAAACAGAAGCGUAUUGAACAUGUAGUGGAGAAAACAGAAGCACAGCUCGGUGAUUGGCACCAGGCGGGAACUCAAGAAAAGCCUUCUUGACCUCGUUACUGUCAAAGGAUGGAAGCUGACAGAAUAGAUUUGGAGUCACAUGCCCCUGGUUCAAUUCCCAGCCCAGUAACUUAGCUGUUAAAUGGGAUAAAAUCUCCCUGAGUCCCUGUUUUCUCAUUUCUGAGAUGGAGAGAGUAACAGAACCUUGCACGGCUUUGAAAUGCUUCAAUCAGGCAGUGAUUCAAUUAGCACAGUGUGAGCUAACUGCUGUUUAGAGAAUUUCUGACUUGAGUCCCACCCUCGAAUUCCAACGUGUGGGAGCUGGAGGAGUGGUGGCACCAGGCAGAAAGGGGCAUGUCCUAGAUAUUAUGUCCACACAUCGUGUCUGGCACUGGAAACGGGGUGGUGUGAAAAGACACUUCUGAGUUCCAGGAAUAACUGGGUGAUGUCCUCAGAAGAAAAUCCAUAUGCCAUCUCUUGGGUGUGAUGGAGGUAACAGUGACAUCUGCAUGAGACUGGGCUGGAGUGGAGGGAGGGGGAGGUGUUGACAUACACAUGUUAAUAUGUCAACAGGCCUAAGGACGUUGUUGACAGUGUAGCCGGGGGUUAGGGGCACAGACUCUGGAGGCAGGUUUGGUACGUUUGGCCUCAGCUCUCUCUGCCUCAACUUUCUCACCUGCAAAAUGGGGAGGAAGGUUUACACUAGUGGUUCCCACGCAGAAGACUUCUGUAGCGAUUAAACGAGACAGCACACAUCGGAAAGCCUUAGCAGAGCUGGGUGCACAGUGAGCCCUCAGAAAACACUCACUGUCGUGAUCGCCACCCCUGUUAUUCAGACAAAAGUGGGAUUCAGCAAAACCAAAACAAUCAGACAAACAAAUAAAAAAUUAGAAGGCAGGAGGGGUGGAUUUUGU
rnacentral:lncRNA from 1 species